rnacentral:rRNA from 1 species
UACGAAGGGGGCUAGCGUUGCUCGGAAUCACUGGGCGUAAAGCGCACGUAGGCGGAUUGUUAAGUCAGGGGUGAAAUCCUGGAGCUCAACUCCAGAACUGCCUUUGAUACUGAGGAUCUCGAGUCCGGGAGAGGUGAGUGGAACUGCGAGUGUAGAGGUGAAAUUCGUAGAUAUUCGCAAGAACACCAGUGGCGAAGGCGGCUCACUGGCCCGGUACUGGACGCUGAGGUGCGAAAGCGUGGGGAG